rnacentral:rRNA from 1 species
AGAUUGAACGCUGGCGGCGUGCCUAACACAUGCAAGUCGAGCGGUAGCAGGUGUAGCAAUACAUGCUGACGAGCGGCGAACGGGUGAGUAAUGCUUCGGAAUCUACCCACGGGUGGGGAAUAACCAACCGAAAGGUUGGCUAAUACCGCAUAUGCCCUACGGGGUAAAGCGAGGGAUCGUAAGACCUCGCGCUGGUGGAUGAGCCUACGUCCGAUUAGUUAGUUGGUAGGGUAAAGGCCUACCAAGGCUACGAUCGGUAGCUGGUCUGAGAGGACGACCAGCCACACUGGGACUGAGACACGGCCCAGACUCCUACGGGAGGCAGC